GAACCUUACCUGGGUUUGACAUGCACAGGACGUGCCUAGAGAUAGGUAUUCCCUUGUGGUCUGUGUGCAGGUGGUGCAUGGCUGUCGUCAGCUCGUGUCGUGAGAUGUUGGGUUAAGUCCCGCAACGAGCGCAGCCCUUGUCUCAUGUUGCCAGCACGUUAUGGUGGGGACUCGUGAGAGACUGCCGGGGUCAACUCGGAGGAAGGUGGGGAUGACGUCAAGUCAUCAUGCCCCUUAUGUCCAGGGCUUCACACAUGCUACAAUGGCCGGUACAAAGGGCUGCGAUGCCGUGAGGUGGAGCGAAUCCUUUCAAAGCCGGUCUCAGUUCGGAUCGGGGUCUGCAACUCGACCCCGUGAAGUCGGAGUCGCUAGUAAUCGCAGAUCAGCAACGCUGCGGUGAAUACGUUCCCGGGCCUUGUCACACCGA
rnacentral:rRNA from 1 species